rnacentral:rRNA from 1 species
AUGAUUGAUCGGGCCGAUGAUAUAAUCAGCUGGCGGGAUGGAAAGGUGGAGACGUGCCGGGUACAUAACAUGGUAUAUGAGGUCAUGGUGUCCAAAGCCCUGGAUGAGAACUUUAUUAGCCUAGUAGGUGGCCCAUAUGAAGGGAUGUCGUAUGGUAGAAUUCGCCGUCUGUCCAUCCAUGGUGGAGAAGAGGUAGCAUCCAUCAAAACUGCAACAUCCCAUGGUAGGAAGAAUGCCAUCAAGGAGAUGAAGAUGGAGCAUGUCCGAUCACUGAGUGUGUUUGACCUCAAUCACAUAAAAGUGCUUGAUCGUCUAGGCGAGUUCAGCCUACUCAGGGUACUUGACCUGGAAGAUUGCAUGGGCCUGGAAGACAAGCAUUUGGUACAUGUCUGCCGGAUGUACAUGCUAAGGUUUUUAGGCCUAAAAGGUACAUACAUAACUAAUUUGCCUCCAGAAGUCGGUGGGCUAGAGAAUUUGGAGACCCUUGAUGUACGUGAGACAGACCUUAGAGAUCUGCCCAAAACUGUGUCAAAGCUAGAGAAACUGGAGCACCUGCAAAUUAGCAACAAAGAGUACACAGAGUGUUGGAUUGCACGCAAGGGCCUGGGUAGAAUGAAGGCGCUACGAAUGGUGAAUACAAUAGUUUUUGGUAAUGAUUAUGAUGCUGCUAAAGAGCUCGGUGAACUACAAAAAAUGAGAGAGUUAGCCUUGGACAUCAGGGAUCCUGAUAAUCCUUAUCAUAACGAUGUUAGGGGAACGCUAGCCAGGUCCCUGAGCAAGAUGUAUUCCCUCCGGUGGCUCAGCAUUGGUAGUAAAGUAUGUAGGGAUAAUGAUACAUUGGACUUUCUACAUGAUCUCGACAUGCCACCGGCGCUCCUCCAGUAUCUUAAGAUUGGUGCCGGCAUUAACAAAUUGCCCAACUGGAUCAGCUCACUGAAUAAUCUUGUUGAGCUUGUCAUUGCUUGGACAUACUUUGUUGGUGACCAAUUGUUCGGCCCAAUAUGUAAGCUGCCCAGGCUGAAGUACUUACGCUUGGGCUCGAACUGCUACAAGGAUACAGAGCUGGUUGCACAAACAGCCCACACCUUUCCGGCACUCAAGUACCUGUUCCUGAACUUCAACAUUGAAAGUAUGGAAGCUGUCCGGUUUGAGGAAAACACAAUGACAGAGCUUGAGACACUCAGUGUGAGCUUUUGGAAAGGAGAGCUUAACAGAGUCCAAGGCAUGAAGAAUUUGGCAAGCCUUCAAGAGGUGCAGCUCGCUGGUCAGAAAGGCAACCCAGCAUUGGACUGUGCCAUGGAGCAACUAAAGACACUGAAUGAGAAGCGCCCAGGAAAUCAGAUGAAGGUUGCAGUGCAAUACCAGUGA